rnacentral:rRNA from 1 species
GAUGAACGCUGGCGGCGUGCUUAACACAUGCAAGUCGAACGAUGAAGCCCAGCUUGCUGGGUGGAUUAGUGGCGAACGGGUGAGUAACACGUGAGUAACCUGCCCUUAACUCUGUGAUAAGCCUGUGAAACUGGGUCUAAUACCGGAUAGGAGCGUCCACCGCAUGGUGGGUGUUGGGAAGAUUUAUCGGUUUUGGAUGGACUCGCGGCCUAUCAGCUUGUUGGUGAGGUAAUGGCUCACCAAGGCGACGACGGGUAGCCGGCCUGAGAGGGUGACCGGCCACACUGGGACUGAGACACGGCCCAGACUCCUACGGGAGGCAGCAGUGGGGAAUAUUGCACAAUGGGCGCAAGCCUGAUGCAGCGACGCCGCGUGAGGGAUGACGGCCUUCGGGUUGUAAACCUCUUUCAGUAGGGAAGAAGCGAAAGUGACGGUACCUGCAGAAGAAGCACCGGCUAACUACGUG